rnacentral:rRNA from 1 species
AGUGAACGCUGGCGGUAGGCCUAACACAUGCAAGUCGAACGGCAGCACAGUAAGAGCUUGCUCUUACGGGUGGCGAGUGGCGGACGGGUGCGGAAUACAUCGGAAUCUACUUUUUCGUGGGGGAUAACGUAGGGAAACUUACGCUAAUACCGCAUACGACCUACGGGUGAAAGCAGGGGAUCUUCGGACCUUGCGCGAUUGAAUGAGCCGAUGUCGGAUUAGCUAGUUGGCGGGGUAAAGGCCCACCAAGGCGACGAUCCGUAGCUGGUCUGAGAGGAUGAUCAGCCACACUGGAACUGAGACACGGUCCAGACUCCUACGGGGGGCAGCAGUGGGGAAUAUUGGACAAAGGGCGCAAGCCUGAUCCAGCCAUACCGCGUGGGUGAAGAAGGCCUUCGGGUUGUAAAGCCCUUUUGUUGGGAAAGAAAAGCAGCAGGUUAAUACCCCGCUGUUCUGACGGUACCCAAAGAAUAAGCACCGGCUAACUUCGUG